rnacentral:misc_RNA from 1 species
ACUCUUCAACCCGUCUAUUCCUGGUGAAUGGCAUGGUGUUUGGAUCUUGAAUGCUGCUGGCUCUUUUUGAGUGAAGCUCGUUCGUAAUACAUUAGCAACUUAAUUUCGAAUCUAUUCGGAUUGACUCGGCGUAAUAGACUAUUCGCUGAGGACACCUUUGGGUGGCCGAAUUUCGAAGUAGUAGCUUCUAAUUCACAAGUCACACUAUAAG